UCGAACUUACGUUUGACGGAGAGGGCCGCGGAUUCCCCGUUAGUUCCUCCUCCUGAUAUCACCAGUGUGGUAGGGAAGUCUUCCCAGGGGCUGAGUGCAGUGAUCUUGCCCUCGGGCAAUGGUUCGGGGAGGAAGAAAUCUUCCGGUCGUGACACGCAGAGGGCCACUUGAUAGGGAGAGUUGUCAGGGGGUGUGUUUUCC
rnacentral:lncRNA from 1 species